rnacentral:rRNA from 1 species
ACUACUGAUUGCUUAGUACGGCGAGUGAGCGGCAAAAGCUCAAAUUUGAAAUCUGGCACCUUCGGUGUCCGAGUUGUAAUUUGAAGAAGGUAACUUUGGAGUUGGCUCUUGUCUAUGUUCCUUGGAACAGGACGUCACAGAGGGUGAGAAUCCCGUGCGAUGAGAUGCCCAAUUCUAUGUAAAGUGCUUUCGAAGAGUCGAGUUGUUUGGGAAUGCAGCUCUAAGUGGGUGGUAAAUUCCAUCUAAAGCUAAAUAUUGGCGAGAGACCGAUAGCGAACAAGUACAGUGAUGGAAAGAUGAAAAGAACUUUGAAAAGAGAGUGAAAAAGUACGUGAAAUUGUUGAAAGGGAAGGGCUUGAGAUCAGACUUGGUAUUUUGCGAUCCUUUCCUUCUUGGUUGGGUUCCUCGCAGCUUACUGGGCCAGCAUCGGUUUGGAUGGUAGGAUAAUGACUAAGGAAUGUGGCUCUACUUCGGUGGAGUGUUAUAGCCUUGGUUGAUACUGCCUGUCUAGACCGAGGACUGCGUCUUUGACUAGGAUGCUGGCAUAAUGAUCUUAAGCCACCCGUCUUGAAACACGGACCA